UCUAAUGUUUUUCAUUAUAUUACAAUAUGCAGUUUUGUCAUUUAGUAACGAAGGGAAACAUUUGUUGUGAAUGAAAGUCCGUGUAAAUUUUUAUUUA